GAUGAACGCUGGCGGCGUGCCUAAUACAUGCAAGUCGAGCGAACAGACGAGGAGCUUGCUCCUCUGACGUUAGCGGCGGACGGGUGAGUAACACGUGGAUAACCUACCUAUAAGACUGGGAUAACUUCGGGAAACCGGAGCUAAUACCGGAUAAUAUAUUGAACCGCAUGGUUCAAUAGUGAAAGACGGUUUUGCUGUCACUUAUAGAUGGAUCCGCGCCGCAUUAGCUAGUUGGUAAGGUAACGGCUUACCAAGGCAACGAUGCGUAGCCGACCUGAUAGGGUGAUCGGCCACACUGGAACUGAGACACGGUCCAGACUCCUACGGGAGGCAGCAGUAGGGAAUCUUCCGCAAAGGGCGAAAGCCUGACGGAGCAACGCCGCGUGAGUGAUGAAGGUCUUCGGAUCGUAAAACUCUGUUAUUAGGGAAGAACAAAUGUGUAAGUAACUAUGCACGUCUUGACGGUACCUAAUCAGAAAGCCACGGCUAACUACGUG
rnacentral:rRNA from 1 species